CAGCGCUGACACUCUGGAGAAGGUCUGCCUCUGCACUUUCCUGGUUCUAUGCAGGCAGAUGAGUACCACAGCUGUAACUGAGGCACACGGCAAUAAACACAGUGGAGCCAAUUUCUACGAUGGCGAGAGAGGGGGCAUCAGAGUUGACAACAAUGACAAGGAUCCAAGGACCGUCCUUCUGACAAGUUUCAGAUUUGCAGCCUCAUGGAGCGAGUGA
rnacentral:lncRNA from 1 species